UCGAGAAUAUUUGGCAAUGGGCGAAAGCCUGACCAUGCGACGCCGCGUGAUUGACGAAGUCCUUCGGGACGUAAAGAUCUUUUACGCGUGAAGAAGUAAUUGACAUUAGCGCGUGAAUAAGGGGCUCCUAACUCUGUGCCAGCAGGAGCGGUAAUACAGAGGCCCCAAGCAUUAUCCGGAAUCACUGGGCGUAAAGGGUGUGUAGGCGGCGCUGUUAGUCUAUCGUAAAAGCACUGGGGCUUAACCCCGGUAAUGCGGUGGAAACGGCAGUGCUCGAGGACGCGAGAGGUAGAGGGAACUCAUGGUGUAGGGGUGAAAUCCGUUGAUAUCAUGGGGAACACCAAAUGCGAAGGCACUCUACUGGCGCGCUCCUGACGCUGAAACACGAAAGCGUGGGAAUCGAACGGGAUUAGAUACCCCCGUAGUCC
rnacentral:rRNA from 1 species